rnacentral:rRNA from 1 species
GUUAUAGGGUCAAGCGAACAAGUGCAUGUGGUGGAUGCCUUGGCGAUCACAGGCGAUGAAGGACGCGGUAGCCUGCGAAAAGCUACGGGGAGCUGGCAAACGAGCUUUGAUCCGUAGAUGUCCGAAUGGGGAAACCCACUCCUUUUGGAGUAUCCAUGGCUGAAUACAUAGGCCAUGCGAAGCGAACGCGGUGAACUGAAACAUCUAAGUAACCGCAGGAAAAGAAAUCAACCGAGAUUCCCAAAGUAGUGGCGAGCGAAAUGGGAUGAGCCUUGCACUCUUUAUUUGUAUUGUUAGCCGAACGCUCUGGAAAGUGCGGCCAUAGCAGGUGAUAGCCCUGUAGGCGAAAACAGUAUGAAAGAACUAGGUGUGCGACAAGUAGGGCGGGACACGUGAAAUCCUGUCUGAAGAUGGGGGGACCAUCCUCCAAGGCUAAAUACUCGUGAUCGACCGAUAGUGAACCAGUACCGUGAGGGAAAGGCGAAAAGAACCCCGGGAGGGGAGUGAAAUAGAUCCUGAAACCGCAUGCAUACAAACAGUCGGAGCCUCGCAAGGGGUGACGGCGUACCUUUUGUAUAAUGGGUCAGCGACUUACGUUCAGUAGCAAGCUUAACCGUAUAGGGCAGGCGUAGCGAAAGCGAGUCCGAAUAGGGCGUUCAGUUGCUGGGCGUAGACCCGAAACCAGGUGAUCUAUCCAUGGCCAGGAUGAAGGUGCGGUAACACGUACUGGAGGUCCGAACCCACUAACGUUGAAAAGUUAGGGGAUGAGCUGUGGAUAGGGGUGAAAGGCUAAACAAACCUGGAAAUAGCUGGUUCUCUCCGAAAACUAUUUAGGUAGUGCCUCGUGUCUCACCUUCGGGGGUAGAGCACUGUCAUGGUUGGGGGGUCUAUUGCAGAUUACCCCGCCAUAGCAAACUCCGAAUACCGAAGAGUGCAAUCACGGGAGACAGACAUCGGGUGCUAACGUCCGGUGUCAAGAGGGAAACAACCCAGACCGCCAGCUAAGGUCCCCAAAUAUAGCUAAGUGGGAAACGAAGUGGGAAGGCUAAAACAGUCAGGAGGUUGGCUUAGAAGCAGCCACCCUUUAAAGAAAGCGUAAUAGCUCACUGAUCGAGUCGUCCUGCGCGGAAGAUGUAACGGGGCUAAGCUAUAUACCGAAGCUGCGGAUGCG